AUUGCACGCUGGCGGCAGGCCUAACACAUGCAAGUCGAACGAGUGGCGGACGGGUGCGUAAUGUCUGGGAAACUGCCCGAUGGAGGGGGAUACCUACUGGAAACGGUAGCUCAUACCGCAUACCAUCGGAUGUUCCCAGAUGGGAUUAGCUAGUAGGUGGGGUAACGGCUCACCUAGGCGACGAUCCCUCGCUGGUCUGAGAGGAUGACCAGCAAAACUGGAACUGAGACACGGUCCAGACUCCUACGGGAGGCAGCAGUGGGGAAUAUUGCAAAAUGGGCGCAAGCCUGAUGCAGCCAUGCCGCGUGUAUGAAGAAGGCCUUCGGGUUGUAAAGUACGUGCAGCGGGGAGGCGUUACCCGCAGAAGAAGCACCGGCUAACUCCGUGCCAGCAGCCGCGGUAAUAC
rnacentral:rRNA from 1 species